rnacentral:lncRNA from 1 species
AAUUUCACAAAGCCGAUCUUCACCAAUUGAGUUAUAAUCUUUUGCUUUCAUUUAAUCUUAGUGGGCAUCGACGAUGAUUUAAUCUGCGUUAUCAAUAUCAGAUUAAUUUUCUAAAGAUGCAAAAUCAAUAUUUAAAAUCAGAGCCUCAUGGACAUGCAGGUUCCUUUGAUCCAGUGGAUUUUUGCGUUUUCUCGAAGAGACAUUCGCAGUGGCCGCCUAAGAACUUUCGCCUUCGCCUGGCUUGAGAGUUUAUGCUGCUUUGCUCCUUCCUUGGAUGGGACCUAAGCCACGAUGAUCGAAUAGAGAUCGCGAAGAUCAAUUGGAAAUAUUGCAGACUUGGUCCCAAUGGUUUACUAAUUACGGAGUUGGUUCUAGUGGUUGUAAAGUUUGCACUCAGGUGAUUUUUAUCACUAACCCAUGUUAAUUUUCUUAGUUAAAUGUAUGAGAAAUGAUUAGAUUAUCCCUGAACAAUAAAUAAAAUAAAAAAUAAAGAUGUUCCACACUCUUUUUCUGGUCAAAAACAGAACAUCAUGUAAUUAUAUUAGAUGGGAGGAGUGGUGUAAAUACCCGUUGGACAUGUUGUAAUUUUUUUUGCCCUUUGCCCGU